rnacentral:lncRNA from 1 species
UUACUAGGCAAUGCCUCGGGUGAGACAAUUAUUACUUUAUUCAUAACAAGAACUAACUUUACUUUAUAUAGAACAAAAAUAUAAAUACACUUAGACAAAAAGUAAGUGUUUCAAUCUCACUCCCCACAAACCAUGUUGGUGUGAUGUGCAAAGUUUUCAAAGUAUAAUUCAUGAAUUAGUGUCUAAACAACGAUAAAUAGAAAAGACUCGACUGUGAGAUUAUUAUUCACCAUGUUCAUUUGUUCUAACGUUUAAAACAAACUAUGGAUAUUAACUUAAAAAUAAAAAAUUUUAUUUGACUCAAAAAAUAAAAAUCCUAAAAUUUUACUUUCCCACCCCCAAACUUAUUUCACACUUUGUCCUCAAGGUGUGGAAUAUCAAAUAAACUAUAAAAGACAACAAAAUAAAAGAAAAUUAAAUUAAAGACAAAAAUGAAACCUGAACUAAACAUAACAAAUAAAAAAAACUAAAGAAAAGCCAAGGAAAGGUAACAAAAUAAAUAAAUAAUUAAAGAAAGGAACACAUGCACCUGGUGUGAAUAAUGACAUGAAGGGAUCCAAAGUCAUGAGGAGUCACACAUUGGGCCAUGAAAAACCAAGGAAAAACAUGAAGAAAAGCCCACGAAAGUAAAGACAAAGCAGCCCAGUGUGCUGUUCACAUGCAUUACAUACACGAGCACUAGAAACCCUCUCUCUAAAAUAAGCAUUGGAUGCUCUUGAUACAUUUGCCUCGAGCCAAGAGCCGAACUGCUCUUUUCUGUCCAUUCCCAUCCCUUUCUGAAUAAUAAUAAUGUUGUUUGUUGAAACCGAAGCCUCUCUCUGUGUCUAGAAAGUCAAAAAAUCAUCUCUUGUUGCUCUCAUUUCAAACCCAUCUAUUUCUGCUCUCUUUCUCUUCUUCAUUGCUCUAAAAAACGCAAGAGCCUUCUGUUUCUUUAGAAAACUAGCCUCAUCCUUUCUCCUAGCACAUUCGCACCAACGCCAAUUAUUACAACCCUUCUAUCUCACAGCAGCUCCUUCAUCCUCUCUAAGCGCUGCAUCCGUAGACUUCCAUAACCCAACAACAAACACACCUCUAUGAGUACCUAGCCGUGGUGGAGUGAGCUGAAAAGCUAAGAUGCUGAAGGUAAAAAUGAAGGAAAUUUUGUGAAAAACAUGUCAUUUGAGCAACAUCUAUGGCAUGCAAUUAACAAUUAAAGGUGGAAUCAUGCUUGUAUGCACUCAAACACAAAACAUUACCCAUGAAAUUCAAAGCCUAGUAGUUAUGUGAACCAAGACUCAACUCAAGAACAAAGUGAGUUG